GAUGAAGAACGCAGCGAAAUGCGAUACGUAAUGUGAAUUGCAGAAUUCAGUGAAUCAUCGAGUCUUUGAACGCACAUUGCGCCCUCUGGUAUUCCGGGGGGCAUGCCUGUUCGAGCGUCAUUAUAACCACUCAAGCUCUCGCUUGGUAUUGGGGCUCGCGGUUCCGCGGCCCCUAAAAUCAGUGGCGGUGCCUGUCGGCUCUACGCGUAGUAAUACUCCUCGCGAUUGAGUCCCGGUAGGCCUACUUGCCAGCAACCCCCAAUUUUUACAGGUUGACCUCGGAUCAGGUAGGGAUACCCGCUGAACUUAAGCAUAUCAAUAAGCGGAGGA
rnacentral:misc_RNA from 1 species